AAUAAAUUAGCAGUUUUGGCAGUAUUCUUUCUCCCUUUUACUUCAUCUUGAUGUUGAUUAUGGUUUUUUCUAUUACGAAACGUAAUUAUUUGACAAAAUAUUUGCUUUUUGGUUGUUUUUGUUUUUGGGUUUCAGACGCAUUGCAAUGGUUGAAUUAGAGAGGAGUGAAGGAGACAUAAAUCAUAGUUUUAUGACAUUGGAAGAAAUCAGGUUAGAGAAUGAUUAAGCAUAAUAAUGGGUAAAACGAGCUAAUCCGAGAACAAGGAGAAUGCAGCAGCAGCUGUCCUUCUUACUAUUUGGACAAAUUCACCCUCUGGAAAACCCUAGCUGUUCGAAUUUCUCUACUGAUCUCACUUUGAAGAUGGUGAUGUUAAGAAAGAAGAUGUUGCAGAUCCUACUGGCAGGAGUGGUUCCUUUCCAAACGUGAGCUUCUUUCCCCCAAUUAUUUUCAAUUGAUUUUGUUAUUUUUAAGGUUCUUUGCGUUUGGUAGAUGAAAACAUGUUUAUGUCUGUCUUAAUUAAAUUAGUGUAGUAUGAAUGACUAUUGUUAGUGUAAUUUUAUUGUCUUUAGUAGUUCAGUGAUGUGUUUGGUUGGGUAUAGGAAUAGGAAAUUGCAAUUUAACGUCACAGAAAGUGUUGAAUACUGCUGGAUGGACUAUGAAUUAGAUGCAGCAAUAUAACUCAGAUGUAAUACUACUAAGUGCAGUUGGACAGGAAGCAAGAGAGGGUGUGAAAGAGCCUAGACCAGAAGUUUAUAAAGAUCAGAAUUACUAUGGAGGUAAUUUUAAUCAGAAACAGGGUGGGGAUUAGAUGGUGCAAGGUUCGAGGACGAGUGACGGCAAGGUGGAGUCUGGAUCAGAAAGAAGGGGUUAGUAUUAUCGACUGUAUAUUUCUUUGUGAUUUGAUGAUUUUUGAUUUGAUGAUUAGAUGAUGAUUAUGAUGAUGAUGGGAGAAUUGUUAAUGGUGUUACUGGACAUAUGACAGCUCUACGGAAAUGAAGGAGACUAUAACGGGAAGGGAAAUUAUGGAGUCUUAUAAAACUAGGGAAAUUAUUUUUUUCUAAUGUAUUUAUUUAACUUUGAGCUUCGUACAUCGCGUGCAUCUCUAUUAAUUUUAGAACAUUUAUUGUUUAUGCAGUCGCUCUAGACCCGAAGCUCGGGGUAGUCCUGAAUUUGUUAAAGAUGAAAACCCUGCUAAUGGAAGAUACCACUGUCGCUUUAGACUUGAGGUCGAGGAACGCCUGAUUAUCCUAAAGAUGAACUUCUAAUGGAAGAUAUCACAUGUUCAUCGUUCUAGACCUGAAACUCAGGGGAACUCCUGAUUAUGCUAAAGAUGAAGGCCUUGCUAAUGGAGGAAGAUACCACAGUCGAUCUCCUCCACCACGAGAGAGGUCGAGAUCCUAAGCAAGGAGAUGGUCACAAAUCGGUCACUUGAAGGGCUGUUUCUGGAGAGGGGACGAUAUCCUAAGCAAAGAAAUGAUCUUGAAUCAGUAUUUGUCAAGUGCAGGUUUUAGAGGAGAGCCAUAGUUGCUUAAAAGUACCCUAUUUGUGAAAAUGCAUGUAUCAACAAAUUUACAAUUGAAUUUGAUAUUGUGUUAGUGGUUUGAUGUAUUUUGAUAUCCCUUUAGAAGAGGGUUCAUAAGUGCUUAUGCUGUUGUCGAACCGUGGCUGAACUAUUUGUAUAUAGACAUGAUUUCAAGUGUGAACAUUUUGUAAAUUUUGUUAAUUUUAUGGAGACGUUCUUGAGUCA